GGCGGGGUGGGGGCGUGUAAACGAGACGCAGAAGUUACCGUAAAGCCCAGAAGAUAUUCGUACACACACACAAAAAAGACUCCAGACCAGUUUCACUUUACUGCUCCUAAUUACCUAUUGUUCGACGGGUAAUUUGGGGAGACGGAUUAACAGCCCUCCCUUAGAAUUGCAAAAUCAAUCUCCUUUGCUCAAGCUACUAGAAUCCAGAUCUUCCCAUUUACGGCGCGAUCCUAAAUUCCAGAUCUGUUUACUCGGAAGCCCCACGAAUUGGGGUUGGAUCGACGGUUCCGUCAGGCCAGGAAUUUGGCUCAGUGGUGCAGUAGGGCUGGGCGGGAAGUCAGUAGGGCUGGCUGCUUACCACAUUUUGAAACAAGUGAAAUAACACACGUGGCCAUCUAAGGCGGGAGGAGCCGCCACAGGACCAUCGAGAUGGAUUCUUUUUAAUGGGUUAACCUCCCGAGUGAGUAAAGUUGCACUCCUACAACCCAGUACAGUACUAGGCAUAUUUACUCACACUUACUCUGUGAUAACCGUGCACAGGAUUGCAAGCUUCUGCAUACUCCGCAGUAAGUAAAUGGGGUUUUCACCGCCUGAGAAAUCUCUAUUUAGGGUCAGGCACUACUGCUGACAGAGGCUUAGCAUAAUAGAAUCAUGGAGUUCAAAGGGACCCUGAGGAUCAUCUAGUCCAGCUCGCUGCUACUACAACCUGCACCAUUGAACAGUGAUCGGUAUUAACAGGUUGAUAUAAUCUGGGUACUGAACAUGACAUGAUUUUGUUUUGUAUGGAAAAUUGUCUUUCCCAUCCCCCCAUCAGAAGUGAACUCUAGUUCACCAAAGCUUAAGGAAUCUGUUCAUCUUUAAAGUACCAGAUUUGUUUUGCUGCUGCAGGCUAGCAUGGUGGCUUAUUUUGAAGCUUCCAAACAUGGACCUAUACUUGAGCAAAUCUCACUAGUUUCAUCCUAUUGUCUUUAUGAGUAACUGAAUUUAGGGACCAUCUACUGCUUAUAAAAGGCUCGUUCCCAAGUAAGCUCUGAUCCUAAACACUAUGGAAAGUAAAUUAAAGCGCUGCUUUUGACUUAUAAAGCCUUAAAUGGCUCAGGAUUGCAAUACCUCAAGGAACGCCUCUCCCCAAAUGAACCAACCCAGACCCUGCGAUCACCAUCUGAGGCCCCCUUCAUGAGAGGUCUGUUAUCUUUCCACAAGGGCCAACAUUGAUGCCGAAAUCCAGCAUUGCCUGAGCUCUGCGAGUGCGGCUUUCUCCCGAUUGAAGUGCAGAGUGUUUGAGGACUGGGACAUUCGCAGGGAAACCAAAAUGCUUCUUUACAAAGCUAUUGUACUAACAACUUCACUGUAUGCUUGUGAAACAUGGACCACUUAUAAACGCCAUCUCCAGCUCCUUGAAAGAUUCCAUCAAUGGUGUCUCCGAAAAAUUUUACACAUCACUUGGGAAGACAGAUGAACUAAUAUCAGUGUACUGGAAGAAGCAAAGAUCACCAGUGUUGAAGCAAUGAUUCUUCAACAUCAACUUCGUUGGACUGGUCACGUUGUAUGGAUGCCUGAUGAUCGUCUUCCAAAGCAACUACAGUGGUGCCCCGCAAGACGAAUGCCUCGCAAGACAGAAAACUCACUAGACGAAAGGGUUUUCCAUUUUUUGAGCUGCUUCGCAAGACAAAUUUCCCUAUGGGCUUGUUCGCAAGACGAAAACGUCUUGCAAGUUUGUUUCCUUUUUCGUAAAACCGUUAAUACCCAGGGUGCAUUGCUUGAAGAGGUGCAGUUGCGACUUGACUUCGAGGAGCAACACAUUGCACGUGGUGUGGUAGCCUUUUCUGAGGUUUUUGAGGACUUUGCUGAUUUUUGAAGCUUUUCCAAAACUUCUUUUGCAGCCAUUUGGUAAGUUAAACUUUUAAAACUUUUUUGGAGGGGUUUGGAUUUUGGGUUGGGGUGUUUGGAAUUCAAGGACUUGGUUUGCAAGAAUCUGGGAGCUUGUGUGGGUUUUUUUGAAUUUUUAUGAUUUUCUGUGACCAUUGGGGCACUCUGCUGUUUUUUUAAAAAAAAAUUCUGGGUUUGAAUUUCUGUGUGGUGGGUGGCUGGGGGAACAGUUGAGGAGGGGUUUGCAAGAAUCUGGGAGCUUGUGUGGUUUUUUUUUAAUUUUUAUGAUUUUCUGUGACCAUUGGGCCAUGUUGUUUUUUUUCCAAAAAAAAUUCUGAGUUUGAAUUUCUGUGUGGUGGGUGGCUGGGGGAGCAGUUGGGGAGGGGUUUGCAACAGUUGGGGAGGGGUUUGCAACAGUUGGGGAGGGGUUUGCAAUUUCUGUGUGGUGGGUGGGUGGGGGAACAGUUGAGGUUUUUGAAGACUUUGGUGAUUUUUAAAGCUUUUCCAAAACUUCUUUUGCAGCCAUUUGAGGAUUUUGAAGACUUUGGUGAUUUGCAGCCACUUCGUAAGUUAAACUUUUAAAACUUUUUUGGGGGUUUUUGGAUUUUGGGUUGGGUGUUUGGAAUUCAAGGACUUGGUUCUGGGUUUGAAUUCCUGUGUGGUAGGUGGCUGGGUGCUUUUGAAUUUUUUGGGUGUGAAGCACUGAUUAUUAUUAUUAUUUUUUCUGAGUUUACGAAGCUAGGAGCUGUGCUGCCAUGGGACCCAAGAAGACUGCUGCUGCAGAGGCCGGCGAGAGGAAGAAGGAGAAGGUGACGCUGGAAAUGAAGAAGGAGAUCAUCCGGAAGCACGACGGUGGAAUGCGUGUGACAGACCUCGCCAGGGAGUACGGCAGGAACCCAUCGACCAUCGGCACCAUCCUGAAGAUGAGGGAGAAGAUCCUUGCGACUGAUGCAGCCAAGGGAGUCACCAGGAUCGUGAAGAACCGCCCAGCUGUUCUGGAGGAGGUCGAGAAGUUGCUGCUCAUCUGGUUAGAAGAGAAGCAGCGUGCAGGGGACACAGUGACUGAGGGCGUGAUUUGUGAGAAGGCCAAGGCCUUGCACGCAGACCUCAUCCGGGAACAGCCAGGAACCUCAGGCGAGCCAGAAGUCUUCAAGGCAAGCAGAGGCUGGUUUGACUGGUUCAAGACAAGAUCUGGAAUCCACAGGGUGGUCAGGCAUGGAGAGGCUGCCAGUUCUGAUGUUCCUGCGGCUGAAGACUUUGCAGCGGAGUUCCUGGAGGUUGUGUCCUCCAAAGAACUGAGGGACAUUUGCCAGAAGUGGAAAGAUGUGCAGGCUUUUGCACAGCGGCACCACCCUGACAAGGACCUGACACGUGACCUUGCGAACACUUUUGAUACGAGGGUCAUGUCGUCUUUCAGGGAGGUGCUGAAAAGGCGGAUGAAGCAGCAGACCAUGGACAGGUUCUUCAGCAAGAAGCAAAGAGUGGAAGAGGAACCUUCUUCGAGUUGUCCCCCAGAGUCUUAGAAAAUGUACUGUACACUUUGAUGAUUUUAAAAUGUUUUUCUGUCAUGUUUAGAAACUUAAUUUAUUGUUCCUUCAAUUUUUGAAAUGCUCUUUACAGUAUGUGUGACUUUAAAGAGCACUUAAUAAACUCUUGUUGUACCA
rnacentral:lncRNA from 1 species